rnacentral:pre_miRNA from 17 species
UACUUUUUUUCAGGCUUGCUGCUGACGGACGCUCUGACUUUAUUGCACUACUGUGUUUCACAGCUAGCAGUGCAAUAGUAUUGUCAAAGCAUCUGAAGGUAGUUCUGAUCACCCACAGGC